AGUGAACGCUGGCGGCGUGCUUAACACAUGCAAGUCGAACGAGAACGGAUUAUAGCUUGCUAUAAUUGUCAGCUAAGUGGCGCACGGGUGAGUAAUGUAUAGGUAAUAUGCCUCUUACUAAGGGAUAACAAAUGGAAACGUUUGCUAAUACCUUAUACUCCUUAUUAACAGAAGUUAAUAAGGGAAAGAUUUAUUGGUAAGAGAUUAGCCUGUAUUGUAUCAGUUAGUUGGUGGGGUAAUGGCUUACCAAGACUAUGACACAUAACUGGUUUGAGAGGAUGAUCAGUCACACUGGAACCGAGACACGGUCCAGACUCCUACGGGAGGCAGCAGUGGGGAAUAUUGCACAAUGGACGAAAGUCUGAUGCAGCAACGCCGCGUGGAGGAUGACACAUUUCGGUGCGUAAACUCCUUUUAUAUGAGAAGAUAGUGACGGUAUUAUAUGAAUAAGCACCGGCUAACUCCGUGCCAGCCGCCGCUGUAAAAC
rnacentral:rRNA from 1 species